AGGGGGCAUGGUGGUGUACUUCCCCGCAGCCAGCAGGGCUGGUGAUCAGUAAUGCUGUGUGAGUCGCUGGGUGGGUGAAGAGGCCGUUUUGAGGCUAAGGGACUCUUCCCACUUCCUGCCUUCUCAGAAGGGAAUUUUUACGUCUGUGAAUGGUGAGCCUUGCAGCCGCUUCAUAGGUAGCAUCAGGGUUUGGCCUGUGGAGAUUUGUGUUAGUCAUGGUCCAUUUUUGCUGCACAUUCUCGCCUCUGUGGACAGUGCAUCUACCAAGGGAAUGCAAGAGCAGUGUUUUUUGCCUUGGAGCGUUCAGUCUGGUUGGCAGGACAGACAGGUCCCCGAGGAGGAGCCACCCGGCAGCUGAGGCUGGGCUGUGGUGUCGCAGGAUUGGGUGAGAGGGUCCCCGGGGCAGCUGCUGGGGCAGGGGAUGACGAGGGGCCCCUGGGUGGUCAGGGCCCGGACUGCGUCUCCACUGUUGUGGAAGUGACUGCCCCUGUGCGGUGAGCGGAGCGUCCUGGGCCCCGGUCAGCAGGCCUGGACUGGGCUCCUCCAGUGAGUCCCAGAGAGCCAGAGGCGGCGUGGGCUCGGCUCUGUGUCCGUGCUGCCGGUGGAGCAGUGGCAAGCCCUCGUCUCUGGAGUGAGUCGGUCACGUAUUCUCUGCCGCGCCCCGUGGACACGGUGGAAGAGGACCAGAGGCGGUGUGGGCUCGGCUCUGUGUCCGUGCUGCCAGUGGAGCAGUGGCGAGCCCUCGUCUCUGGAGUGAGUCGGUCACGUAUUCUCUGCCGCGCCCCGUGGACACGGUGGAAGAGGACCAGAGGCGGCGUGGGCUCGGCUCUGUGUCCGUGCUGCCGAUGGAGCAGUGGCGAGCCCUCGUCUCUGGAGUGAGUCGGUCACGUAUUCUCUGCCGCGCCCCGUGGACACGGUGGAAGCAGCGCAGCUUCUCCAGACCUUUCCUUUUGGCCACUGAGGGGAGAAGUGGCCGUGUGCAAGCCUUGGGCUGAGCGUCCGCAGCCUCCAGCCCCGUGGGUUGUGAUUUUGGGGCAGCUCCUCGGUCUCUUCAUCUGUAGAGGGAGAUCCAGCUGCUUCACCCGUUCUCACUCUGCUCUGACGCAGGGCCCUGAUUCUUCUCUUCCCAAACCUUUUGCACACAGCUCUUUGGGGAAGAACUGUUCCCGGGGAGGAGGCUGUGUGGUGCACCUGUCGAGGGUCCCUGCAGCAUUGGUGGCCUGCCUCACCACGGGGCAGUCUGCAGGGCGGGGCCCCGGGGUCUCUGCUCUCUGCUCCCUGCCUGCUUUUCCAGGGGCCGCUUAGGCGAACGGAAGAGAAGGAAGAGAUGUACACUGCGCUGUCCAAAAAGGUAGCCGCCAGCCGCGUGUGGCCACGUGAAUACAAUCAAUUGAAAUUAAAUGCGAUCCCCUGCACAGUGCUGACAGGGCCGUCCUCAGUGCAGAAGUGGGACGGUCUGGCAUCUGGCAGCUCUGCCGGGUGCGGGCUGCCAGUUGCUGGUGCCGUUCUCUCCGGCUGACCUCGCGGCCUUGUGUGGAGGUUGGGGGUGGCCUGGGGAGGAAAGGCCUUUUUGCAGCCUCGCUUGUUCAGUGACACAGGUGUGGCGAGAGGACUGCGCCCUCAACACCUCCCUGCCCAGAGAAGAGGCGGCCGGUGCCAGGGACGCCCUUUGUGGAGGACGCGGUGGCAUUUCACUUUCCUGGUUGGACUCCUGGUCGACUCCGAGAUGAGGUCAGUGUGUGCCCGUUCCUGAGGCCUGUCCAUUUGCAGCACUGCUCUCCCAGGGGUCCGUCCUGGGACAGCCUCCGUUCCAGCAGGUUGGUCACAGUGUCAGAAAAGUGAGACCAGAUGCUCACCGCUUGCCAGCACCGUUGUUUCUCAUGCGUUGUAAGUGAGUGGAUUGGAAAAGUAUUCCAGGCAGGGCUGCUGGAGGGACCAGUCCUCUCACAGAGCCCGACACCCAGGCCUGAGCUGCACUGCUGCAGCUGGGCCCACCCCUGAUGGGAGCUGCCUAUUUGAGGGCCCUGUGGAGUGCGCCCGUCAGCUGAUGUGUGGUGGUAUCGGCGCCGCCCCCAGACCUCCUCUGGGGUCUAUGGAGUGCGCCUGUCAGCUUAUGUGAUGUGUGGUGGUGUCGGUGCCGCCCCCAGACCUCUGGGGUCUAUGGAGUGAGCCCAUCAGCUGAUGUGAUGUGUGGUGGUGUCGGUGCCGCCCCCAGACCUCCUCUGGGGUCUUUGAGCUUUGUGGGCUUCUGUGGUUCAGAGAGGUUUGCUGUCAUUCUAUGGACCGAGUUGUGUGACUAAUCUGGCUUCCCGCCCACACCUCCCACUUCCCCAUCGUCCAGUACAGGAGCCACUUUCCAAGCUGAGAUGGAAGCUGAGGGCCAAAUGCAUGUGUUCUGUUGCUGUUGUUUUAAGAUUUAUUUAUUUGAAAGGCACAGAGUGGGGGUCGUGACAGAUCUUCCAUCCGCUGGUUCACUCCCCAGAUGGCUGCAACAGCUAGAGUUGGGUCAGGAAGAAGCCAAGGGACUCCCUUGGGAUCUCAUGGGAGUGGCAGGGGCCCAAGCCCUUGGGCCAUCUUGUCCUGCGUUCGCAGGUGAAUUAGCAGGGAGCUGGAUCAGAAGUGGAGCAACCAGGACUCUAACCAGUGCUCUGAUAGGGAAUGCUGGCUUCACAGGCGGUGGCGUAACCCACUGAACCACAGUGCUGGGCCCUGCAUGUGGGUUUUGACUUUUGUAAACAAGUGAAAGCGUGGUUGAUAGUAUUAUUUUAUGCUUACUGUAUACAUAAAUGAUAAUCCUGCGGAUGUAUAUUAGGGUAAAUGAAACAUUGUUGUGAUCUCACCUGUUUUCUACUUUGAGAAAUGGCUGCUAGGAAACUGAACGUGGCUGAGUGACUCAGGGUGUCCUGUUGGGCAGCCCCCUGGAGAGCGUCCUGAGCAAAACCUCAGCUGCCCCUCCUGAGGCGCGUUUCCCAUCCUCACUCCUGGUCCCUUAGCGAUCAACACCUUUUCUUGUAAGGGUGCUGGCUCGUAGCCUGUGUUCUUGCUGACUCAAGGCAGAGCUGGGGAUUUAGAAAGGAAAGAACUGAACGGGAUCACCAGAGCCUACCCAGCCCCUCUGCAGCCGGCUAGACAGCCGAGGGAGCCAGGUGGGGGCCCAGGUCUCCGCUGCGUGAAUGGGACAGGAUGGUGGUGUCGGUCAUGUCUGGACAGCAGGCUGGGGUGCUUGGAGAGGGUUCUGUAGCUGAGUGCCAGGCAUCUCUGGGGCAUCACCCUUGGCACAGGGCUGCCUUGUUCCUCUGAGUGUCCUCAGCUCACCAGCAGCUCUGGGAACUUGGGUGUUUUCCCCGGGCGGGGAGGAUAACUUGAGGCCAGCAUACCCCACCUCCCCCUAGCUCUCUGACUUCAUGGAAUGUCAGACCAGCCUGGUAACAUCUCCCCAAGCCCCUCCCUUCUCCCCGGGGAUCUGCUGUGUCAGGGCGUGGGGUUGCCAUCACACCUGGCUCAAGUAGGCCCAGAGGCCCUUUGGGGCCUGUGCUGUUCUUGGUCUUGCUCUGAUGUCCACCAGACCUUGGGAUUCUGUGUCCUGCAUGUCUGUGGUGUCUGCUCUCUCCCAGCUGGACUACUGCAGGCAGCCUCCACUUCCGUUCCCCAGCCCCCCUGGGCUUUCCUUUCCUAGGCCCACUGUCUGCCUGUACUAUGGCCUGUGUGGCACCUGUGCCGUUGAGAAAGGAUGUUGUCUCCUCCCCAGCCUGCUGGUCUCGCCUGCCAGCUUGUCUGCGUCCCUUCCCUGGUACUUCUGUGAACCUCUGUCGAGUCCUGGCUGGGAGGCAGGCGCUCUAGGCUGCUGCUGCCCACAGGGCCCCUCGGCCCCCCACACCCUUCAUGCACUGAGAGGGCUUGCUGCCUUCUUGCUGGGCUUCUUCAGGGUCCCUACCUUGUGCCCUCUCUCUCGGUGUCAGGGUCCAUGAGCUGAUAAAUGUGCAAGAAACGUGGAUUGAGGGAGGGGCUCUGCUCUGGGUGGGAGGAAGUGGGAAGAAGUGGUGCCAUCUGAUAGAGCAGAAGAACUCGUGCCAUUGCAUUGUGUGCAUAAUAGUGUUGCAGGGGCCGGCGCUGUGGCGUAGCAGGUAAAGCUGCCGCCUGCAGUGCCAGCAUUCCAUAUGGGUGCCGGAUCGAGUCCCAGCUGCUUCCCUUCCGAUCCAGCUCUCUGCUAUGGCCUGGGAAAGCAGCAGAAGAUGGGCCAAGGGCUUGGGCCCCUGUGCCCACGUGGGAGACCCAGAAGAGGCUCCUGGCUUUGGAUUGGUGGAACUCCAGCCAUUUUGGCCAACUGGGGAGUGAACCAGUGAUGGAAGACGUAUCUCUGUCUGUCUGUCUCUCUCUCUCUCCCCACCAGCCUCGCUCUCUUCCCCCUCCCUCACUGUCUCUCUCUGCCUCUGCCUCUCUGUAGUUCUGCCUUUCAAAUAAAUAAAUAAAUCUUUAAAAAAAAAAAAAAAGUUUGCGGCCGGCACCGC